GGGCCCGUGGCUCAAUGGUAGAGCGUUCGUCUCAAAUACCAAAGGUCGCGGGUUCAAAUCCCAGGUGUUCCA
rnacentral:tRNA from 1 species